GUCAAAUCUGCCCAAUGAUAAAUUUUAAUGGCUGCAGUAUAACUAACUGUACAAAGGUAGCAUAAUAAUUAGUUUUUUAAUUAAAAACUAGAAUGAAUGAUUUAAUGAGAUAUAAACUAUAUAAAAAUAAAUAAAAUUUAAAUUUAAAAUUUAAGUAAAAAUGCUUAAAUUUUAUUAAAAGACGAGAAGACCCUAUAGAAUUUUAUAUUUAAAUAAGUUUAUAAUAAUAAUAAUUUUAAAAACUUAUUUAUAUAUUUAAUUGGGGUAAUUUUAAAAUUAAAUAAACUUUUAAAAUAUAAACAUUAAUUAAUGAAUAAAAAAUC
rnacentral:rRNA from 1 species